CACGUAGGGUGCGAGCGUUGUCCGGAAUUAUUGGGCGUAAAGAGCUCGUAGGCGGUGUGUCGCGUCGGCCGUGAAAACCUGCAGCUUAACUGUGGGCUUGCGGUCGAUACGGGCAUCACUGGAGUUCGGCAGGGGAGACUGGAAUUCCUGGUGUAGCGGUGAAAUGCGCAGAUAUCAGGAGGAACACCGGUGGCGAAGGCGGGGUCUCUGGGCCGAUACUGACGCUGAGGAGCGAAAGCGUGGGGAGCGAACAGG
rnacentral:rRNA from 1 species